UACGAGAGGCGCAAACGUUAUUCGGAAUUACUGGGCUUAAAGAGUUCGUAGGCGGCGCAGAAAGUAGGGUGUGAAAGCCCUCGGCUCAACCGAGGAAUUGCGCCCUAAACUACUGUGCUUGAGGAACCUAGAGGUGAGCAGAACUGAUGGUGGAGCGGUGAAAUGCGUUGAUAUCAUCAGGAAUACCGGAGGCGAAGGCGGCUCACUGGGGGUUUUCUGACGCUGAGGAACGAAAGCCAGGGGAGCGAACGGG
rnacentral:rRNA from 1 species